rnacentral:rRNA from 1 species
GACGAACGCUGGCGGCGUGCUUAACACAUGCAAGUCGAACGGGUCUGCCCUGUUUUUUGCGGGGUGGGUCAGUGGCGAACGGGUGAGUAACACGUGAGUAACCUGCCCCUCACUUCUGGAUAACCGCUUGAAAGGGUGGCUAAUACGGGGUGUUCUGGCUGUGCCGCAUGGUGUGGCUGGGAAAGAUUCACUUUUGUGGUGUUUUGGUGGGGGAUGGGCUCGCGGCCUAUCGGCUUGUUGGUGGGGUGAUGGCCUGCCAAGGCUUUGACGGGUAGCCGGCCUGAGAGGGUGGGCGGUCACACUGGGACUGAGAUACGGCCCAGACUCCUGCGGGAGGCAGCAGUGGGGGGUAUUGCACAAUGGGCGGAAGCCUGAUGCAGCGACGUCGCGUGAGGGAUGGAGGCCUUCGGGUUGUGAACCUCUUUCGCCGGUGAAGAAGGUCCUGCUCUUUGUGGUGGGGUUGACGGUAGCCGGGUUAUGAAGCGCCGGCUAACUACGUG